rnacentral:lncRNA from 1 species
UUAAAAAUCUGAAUUGUCCUUUAUUUCAGCUUAAAUUCAAAUUUUAAAUUUGAAUUUUUCUUUUUUCUGAUCUAGCUUUGGGAGAAAAUAAUCUUUUUGGCCCUCUUCCCUUAUCCCUGCCCGCAAGCUAUACUGAUUCGUUGUCUCAAAUUAUUAGAAGCAGAAGUUCCUCUCUGAACACCAUUAAUAGAAGUUGCUACCUGAUAUAGUUGAAAGACCUAUAUCCACAGAAGAUUCUCAACGGAUCCAUCAGUUCUCAAACCACAGGAUGCCAAAGACUUUCUGUUUGACUUCAAAUUGAAAUGGGAAGUGAUGAAACCCUGUCUCCCAUAUAUUGCACAACCUCAAAGAAUGCCCUCUUCAAAAAGAAUAGGUAAGCAUUCAGAUAGGGUAUUUUUGUAAAUUAAAACUUACUU